rnacentral:lncRNA from 1 species
GUUGCAGUGAUUAUCCUCAUACACAUCAAUUCUCUUGUGUACAAGUAAAUCUAUAGAAUAAAUUCCUAUAAGAAUUGUUAAAGGUUAAAAUUUUUAAAUCCACCAAAUUUGGUGGGUAUUUCCGCUAUUCAUAAAGAUAAUACAUGUUUAUACUCCUAAUGACAACAUAUGAGUGCCACUUUUAUAGCUUGUCAGCAGUGUCUUAUAUGCUUUGAUCCUUGC